rnacentral:rRNA from 1 species
GAAAAGAAACUAACUAGGAUUCCCUUAGUAACGGCGAGUGAACCGGGAUGAGCUCAAAUUUGAAAUCUGGCGUCUUUCAGGCGUCCGAGUUGUAAUCUAUAGAGGCGUUUUCCGCGCCGGACCGCGUCCAAGUCUCUUGGAAUAGAGUAUCAAAGAGGGUGACAAUCCCGUACUUGACGCGACAACCGGUGCUCUGUGAUACGUUCUCAAUGAGUCGAGUUGUUUGGGAAUGCAGCUCUAAAUGGGUGGUAAAUUCCAUCUAAGGCUAAAUAUUGGCGAGAGACCGAUAGCGAACAAGUACCGUGAGGGAAAGAUGAAAAGCACUUUGGAAAGAGAGUUAAACAGCACGUGAAAUUGUUAAAAGGGAAACGAUUGAAGUCAGUCGUGUGGGAAGUAUUCAGCCGUCUCUGGCGGUGUAUUUGCUUCUCACGGGUCAACAUCAGUUUGAUCCGGUAGAAAAAGGCGGGAAGAAGGUGGCACCCUCGGGUGUGUUAUAGCUUCCUGUCAUAUGUGCCGGACCAGACUGAGGAACGCAGCUUGCAGCAAUGCCGGGGUUCGCCCACGUACAAGCUUAGGAUGUUGACAUAAUGGCUUUAAACGAC